CCUACGGGAGGCAGCAGUGGGGAAUAUUGCACAAUGGGGGAAACCCUGAUGCAGCGACGCCGCGUGAGUGAAGAAGUAUUUCGGUAUGUAAAGCUCUAUCAGCAGGGAAGAAAAUGACGGUACCUGACUAAGAAGCCCCGGCUAACAACGUGCCAGCAGCCGCGGUAAUACGUAGGGGGCAAGCGUUCUCCGGAUUUACUGGGUGGAAAGGGAGCGUAGACGGCAGAGCAAGUCAGAAGGGAAAGCCCGCGGCUCAACUGCAGGACGGCUUUGGAAACUGCACGGCUAGAGUGCUGGAGAGGUAUGCAGAAUUCCUGGUGUAGCGGUGAAAUGCGUAGAUAUUAGGAGGAACACCAGUGGCGAAGGCGGCUUACUGGACAGUAACUGACGUUGAGGCGCGAAAGCGUGGGGAGCAAACAGGAUUAGAUACCCGGGUAGUC
rnacentral:rRNA from 1 species